GGGUGAGUAUACAAGUGGUUCAAAGUUAUCAGAUUGUAAAUCUGACGCCGAUGGCUUCGUAGGUUCGAAUCCUACCUCACCCACCA
rnacentral:tRNA from 1 species